rnacentral:rRNA from 1 species
GAUGAACGCUAGCGGGAGGCCUAACACAUGCAAGCCGAGCGGUAUUGUUUCUUCCGAAAUGACAGAGCGGCGUACGGGUGCGGAACACGUGUGCAACCUGCCUUUAUCUGGGGGAUAGCCUUUCCAAAGGAAGAUUAAUACUCCAGAACAUAUUGAUUGGCAUCAAUUAAUAUUGAAAGCUCCGGCGGAUAGAGAUGGGCACGCGCAAGAUUAGCUAGUUGGUGAGGUAACGGCUCACCAAGGCGAUGAUCUUUAGGGGGCCUGAGAGGGUGAUCCCCCACACUGGUACUGAGACACGGACCAGACUCCUACGGGAGGCAGCAGUGAGGAAUAUUGGUCAAUGGGUGCAAGCCUGAACCAGCCAUCCCGCGUGAAGGACGACUGCCCUAUGGGUUGUAAACUUCUUUUGUAUAGGGAUAAACCUACCCUCGUGAGGGUAGCUGAAGGUACUAUACGAAUAAGCACCGGCUAACUCCGUGCCAGCAGCCGCGGUAAUACAGAGGGUGCAAGCGUUAUCCGGAUUUAUUGGGUUUAAAGGGUCCGUAGGCGGACUUAUAAGUCAGAGGUGAAAGCCUGUCGCUUAACGAUAGAACUGCCAUUGAUACUGUAAGUCUUGAGUAUAUUUGAGGUAGCUGGAAUAAGUAGUGUAGCGGUGAAAUGCAUAGAUAUUACUUAGAACACCAAUUGCGAAGGCAGGUUACCAAGAUAUAACUGACGCUGAGGGACGAAAGCGUGGGGAGCGAACGGGAUUAGAUACCCUGGUAGUCCACGCCGUAAACGAUGCUAACUCGUUUUUGGGCUUUAGGGUUCAGAGACCAAGCGAAAGUGAUAAGUUAGCCACCUGGGGAGUACGCUCGCAAGAGUGAAACUCAAAGGAAUUGACGGGGGCCCGCACAAGCGGUGGAUUAUGUGGUUUAAUUCGAUGAUACGCGAGGAACCUUACCAAGACUUAAAUGGGAAUUGACAGCUUUAGAAAUAGAGCUUUCUUCGGACAAUUUUCAAGGUGCUGCAUGGUUGUCGUCAGCUCGUGCCGUGAGGUGUUAGGUUAAGUCCUGCAACGAGCGCAACCCCUGCCACUAGUUGCCAUCAUUCAGUUGGGGACUCUAGUGAGACUGCCUACGCAAGUAGAGAGGAAGGUGGGGAUGACGUCAAAUCAUCACGGCCCUUACGUCUUGGGCCACACACGUAAUACAAUGGCCGGUACAGAGGGCAGCUACACAGCGAUGUGAUGCAAAUCUCGAAAGCCGGUCUCAGUUCGGAUUGGAGUUUGCAACUUGACUCUAUGAAGCUGGAAUCGCUAGUAAUCGCGCAUCAGCCAUGGCGCGGUGAAUACGUUCCCGGGCCU